GAUGAACGCUGGCGGCGUGCCUAAUACAUGCAAGUCGAGCGAACAGACGAGGAGCUUGCUCCUCUGACGUUAGCGGCGGACGGGUGAGUAACACGUGGAUAACCUACCUAUAAGACUGGGAUAACUUCGGGAAACCGGAGCUAAUACCGGAUAAUAUAUUGAACCGCAUGGUUCAAUAGUGAAAGACGGUUUUGCUGGCACUUAUAGAUGGAUCCGGGCCGGAUUAGCUAGUUGGUAAGGUAACGGCUUACCAAGGCAACGAUGCGUAGACGACCUGAGAGGGUGAUCGGCCACACUGGAACUGAGCCACGGUCAAGACUCCUACGGGAGGCAGCAGUAGGGAAUCUUACGCAAUGGGCGAAAGCCUGACGGAGCAACGCCGCGUGAGUGAUGAAGGUCUUCGGAUCGUAAAACUCUAUUAUUAGGGAAGAACAAAUGUGUAAGUAACUAUGCACGUCUUGACGGUACCUAAUCAGAAAGCCACGGCUAACUACGUG
rnacentral:rRNA from 1 species